rnacentral:lncRNA from 1 species
CCCUGGUUUGAUUUCAAAGUGUCCAACAUUUUCAGGAAUAAUCAUGCAUGAAGGUUGACUAGUCCUAGUGGGAUGUAAAUAUUGUCGAAGUGUCAUAACUGGGGGUCUACCUUCAUCACCAUGGUGACUUUCUACAUCAUCAGGAAAAUUUGCCAUCUCACAAGGUGUGAGAUACUGCGAAGGAAUUUCAAGGAUGUGUCCUAAGAGAUGAUCUAAAGUUGUACGACUUAAUCGACCGGUGUCGUCCCUAUUCCACCCUAGCAUACAAAGUUUCAGAGUUUAUUUAUUUAUUUAUUCUUUUAAUGAUCACCCUUGAUCUUUUCUUAAAGUUCUUAUCAAUUUUCAACUAGCAACAAGGGUUAAUGAGAUAUGAUAAUAAUAAAAUUCUGAUUCUUAAAAAAAAAAAAAUUAAAUACAGAAAAUUCAAAACAGACAGCAGCAAGGUUUCAGAUUAAUAUAAUGGUCGUAAAAGUAUCAGAAUGUCAAUCACACCGUUCAGAUGAAAGAAACACAGGUCCUGCACCCGACGACCAAAUUUGAAUCCAAUCAGACGGUGAAUUACUGAGAUAUCAGAGUUUGAUGCAGACUGUGCAGGGAAUAAAAAAACAGCAAUAAAGAUUCAAAUUUUUUUUUAAAAAGAAAAAUACUAACAAAUCAACUAAAAAUUAACUCUAAAAAUAUACUAAUAAAUCAGCCGUUCUCCGGCAACGGCGCCAAAAACUUGGUGC